GCAAGUACCAACUCCAUGUGAGACACUGCAAACAGUAUUUCUCUUCGAAACGAAUUCUUUUGUAGUAACGCGAACAAUGCAAUAAAUUAUGUGAGAAAGGAUACGUACUAGCUCAUCCCACCUAUAGAAGUUGUUGAUGUAAAGUAUGUUAGUCCACCAAUAUUUGGAACACUUAGUAUUUGGAUGUUCAAUAGGAAGAAGUGCUGAGACAUGAUGAUGCCAGGUAAAAUUCAAUAUCGCUAUCAAUAUAACGACGAAAUAUGCAGGUGUAAGCCUUCGAAGUUAAUAUAUUUAUUUUAUUAUUAUCGAAAUCUCAUCGAUAGAACUAAUUAAGCAUUGAUACUAUAUUAUACCUUAUAUAUCUUAUGA
rnacentral:misc_RNA from 1 species